AUUCAGUUGGAUAUCAUUAACCGAGGACCGGUGAGAUCCUCGAAUUAAUCCAGAGUUGGAAGCAGACACCAAGGGGGUACUGACGUCUCGCAAAGAGGGAUUCACAACCCUCUCUUCCCAGGAAAUCACCAAAGAUCAAGUGUGUGCUGGAGGCCUGAGGCUGGAGCCCAUAGAAUGGAAGAGAUCUCCAGGGAGCCUAAGAGGUUAGUGCUUACUGUGUCUAGCUGCCCCCUAAAGCACAAGUAUGACAGAGAGUCCUGAGUGAAACGUUGCAGAGGAUUCAAGGACUUCUGGAAAUGAGAGCCCGCUGACUACAGCCCACUUUACACCGCCCAUGGUCUCCGCGCCUGCCUCCCACUCUUACAUAGAUGGGUUCUGGAAUUGAACAUCGAAAGCACGGUGUGGAGACCUCACAGGUUCGAUUCUGGAAUGGACUCAGAGAACUUACCCCUAGCCAGGAUCCAGCCUCCCACGGAAGGCUGAGGGGGAGGCCCAGAGUCAGUGUCUUCCUUGGCGGGUG